UGAAAUAAAGAAACAUCACAAAGAAAUUUUGAUUUAUGUUUGGUUAGUAUGAAAUCACUCCUCACUCUUGCUUGGAUAUUGUUAUUUUCUUCUUCCACCAACAAACUCUCAUCACUCACACUUUCAUUUCUUUCUUUGUUCUCACUUUUUUUCUCUACUUCUUUUUCAAUUUCAAUUUCUUUUUCAUCCCCAAUCUCUAUUUCUUUUCUCUCACACUCUUUUUCUUUUUCAAUCUCUUUUUCUUGUUCACACUCACUUUUUCUUUCUUUUUCAAUUUCUUUCUCUUGUCUCUUAGAUUCUCUUAUUUUCACUUUUAACUUCUCUCGAUCUUCACAAAUUUAUUCCCGAGUCAAUGAUGUCAAGGUGAUCUUAU
rnacentral:lncRNA from 1 species